UACGUAGGGUGCGAGCGUUAAUCGGAAUUACUGGGCGUAAAGCGUGCGCAGGCGGUUUUGUAAGACAGAUGUGAAAUCCCCGGGCUCAACCUGGGAACUGCGUUUGUGACUGCAAGACUCGAGUGCGGCAGAGGGGGGUGGAAUUCCGCGUGUAGCAGUGAAAUGCGUAGAUAUGACGGAGGAACACCGAUGGCGAAGGCAAUCCCCUGGGCCUGCACUGACGCUCAUGCACGAAAGCGUGGGGAGCAAACAGG
rnacentral:rRNA from 1 species